GUCUUCGUAGCUAAAAUUAUAUAGCGCAACACUGAAGAUGCUGAGAUGAAAUAUUAAGAUUUCCGUCGACA
rnacentral:tRNA from 1 species